UACAGAGGUCCCAAGCGUUACUGAGAAUCACUGGGUUUAAAGGGUGCGUAGGUGGUCCGUUAAGUCAGUUGUGAAAUCCCCGGGCUCAACCCGGGAACUGCUUCUGAUACUGGCGGACUUGAGGCCAGUAGGGGUCACUAGAACUGACGGUGGAGCGGUGUAAUGCGUAGAUAUCGUCAGGAAUGCCGGUGGUGAAGACGGGUGACUGGGCUGGUUCUGACACUGAGGCACGAAAGCGUGGGGAGCGAACGGG
rnacentral:rRNA from 1 species